AACUUUCAACAACGGAUCUCUGGGCUCUCGCAUCGAUGAAGAACGCAGCGAAAUGCGAUAAGUAAUGUGAAUUGCAGAAUUCAGUGAAUCAUCGAAUCUUUGAACGCACCUUGCGCUCUUUGGUAUUCCGAAGAGCAUGCCUGUUUGAGUGUCAUGAAAAUAUCAACCUUGACAGGGGUUUAGUGCUCUUGUCUUGGCUUGGAUUUGGCUGUUUGCCGCUCGAAAGAGUCGUCUCAGCUUAAAAGUAUUAGCUGGAUCUGUCUUUGAGACUUGGUUUGAGUUGGCGUAAUUAGUUAUUUCGCUGAGGACAAUCUUCGGAUUGGCCGAGUUUCUGGGACGUUUGUCCGCUUUCUAAUAGAAGUUCUAGCUUGCUAGACAUGACUUUUUUAUUAUCUCGCCUCAAAUCAGGUAGGACUACCCGCUGAACUUAAGCAUAUCAAUAAGCGGAGGCU
rnacentral:misc_RNA from 1 species